GCUGACUCCCAUGCGCGACAGGAUAACAUAAAGAUAAGAGUUAUUUCCUUACUUGUAUUGAUAAAAUGAGUUAAUAUCGAACAAAAUUGGAAAACUUUUGCCGGUUUUUCAUCUACUCAUACCUCUUGCAGUUUCCCAGAUGCCAUUUCUUCCAAGAACCAUUCGCAUAGGGAAUGUAAACAAGGUGGUCCUUUCACUUCUUUGCUGUUUCUAAUUGCCAUUAACGAUCUUUACUGCAGACUCGAUUCAAAACCAUCGCGUAAAGGAUCACAAAGGGAAAUCCAAAUCUGAUUAAAAAAACGUUAUGGGUGAACUUGCGGAAUUCGAAGGAGCAUCAGGCUUGAAAAUAAACACAACUAAAACAGAAUAC
rnacentral:lncRNA from 1 species